rnacentral:rRNA from 1 species
UGGGGAAUAUUGGGCAAUGGGCGAAAGCCUGACCCAGCGACGCCGCGUGGACGAUGAAGGCCUUCGGGUUGUAAAGUCCUGUCAUGCGGAAAGAACAGCCUUAUGGUGAAUACCCAUGAGGUUUGACGGUACCGCAGGAGGAAGCACCGGCUAACUCCGUGCCAGUAGCCGCGGUAAUACGUAGGGGGCGAGCGUUAUUCGGAAUUACUGGGUGUAAAGGGUAUGUAGGCGGCCCUUCAAGUCGCGUGUCAAAGUCCAGUGCUCAACGCUGGGUGUGCACGCGAUACUGACGGGCUUGAGGGCUGGAGAGGUGAGCGGAAUUCCCGGUGUAGUGGUAAAAUACGUAGAGAUCGGGAGGAACACCAGCGGCGCAGGCGGCUCACUAGACAGUUUCUGACGCUAAGAUACGAAAGCGUGGGGAGCAAACA